rnacentral:snRNA from 13 species
ACAGCUGAGGUGGGAGACUCUGUCCAUAGGACAACAAUAUUAAAUGGAUUUUUCGAACAGGGAGUCGGAAAUGGGGCUUGCUCCGUCCGCUCCACGCAUCGACCCGGUAUUGCAGUACCUCCGGGAACUGUGCAACACUU